AAAUCUUGAAGAUCACAUGCUUCCCACUUCAUGCCAUGCACAUUCAAAAUUCAAAAGGAGGCUCCACCUUCCUCUUUAGUGCAUGAAUGGCAAGAAUAAUGUGAAGAAGACUUCUUGGACACACCUUGGACAGCAAUUAAAAGACCAAAAAGCCCCUCCCUUGCCUUCACACAUGCACAUAGAAGGCACAUAUUAGACCAAGGGCACUUU
rnacentral:lncRNA from 1 species